rnacentral:rRNA from 1 species
UGGAGGUUGUGGCCUUGAGCCGUGGCUUUCGGAGCUAACGCGUUAAGUAGACCGCCUGGGGAGUACGGUCGCAAGAUUAAAACUCAAAUGAAUUGACGGGGGCCCGCACAAGCGGUGGAGCAUGUGGUUUAAUUCGAUGCAACGCGAAGAACCUUACCUACUCUUGACAUCCAGAGAACUUUCCAGAGAUGGAUUGGUGCCUUCGGGAACUCUGAGACAGGUGCUGCAUGGCUGUCGUCAGCUCGUGUCGUGAG